GGCCCAGAUCGUUUACCGUGAAAAAAUUAGAGUGUUCAAAGCAGGCAGACCAUUUCUUCUGCCACCGAAUACAUUAGCAUGGGAUAAUGGAAUAGGACCCUGUCCUCCUAUUUUGCGUGUUGGUUUUCGAGGACCGGGUAAUGAUUAAUAGGGAUAGUUGGGGGCAUUAAUAUUUAAUUGUCAGAGGUGAAAUUCUUGGAUUUAUGAAAGAUUGACUUCUGCGAAAGCAUCUGCCAAGGAUGUUUUCAUUAAUCAAGAACGAAAGUUAGGGGAUCGAAGACGAUCAGAUACCGUCGUAGUCUUAACCAUAAACGAUGCCGACCAGCGAUUAGGAGACGUUGAAUACAAAACACCACCGUCGGGUCGGCCGUCCUUGGCCGUCGUGCGCGGCGACGCGCGCGGCGGCGAGGGCGGUGUCUGCCCGACGGCCCGGUGAAUGACUCCCCUAGCAGCUUGUGAG
rnacentral:rRNA from 2 species